rnacentral:rRNA from 1 species
CCUACGGGUGGCAGCAGUGAGGAAUAUUGGUCAAUGGGCGGAAGCCUGAACCAGCCAAGUAGCGUGCAGGAUGACGGCCCUACGGGUUGUAAACUGCUUUUAUACGGGAAUAACGCGCCUUACGUGUAGGGCUUUGCAUGUACCGUCUGCAUAAGGACCGGCUAAUUCCGUGCCAGCAGCCGCGGUAAUACGGAAGGUCCGGGAGUUAUCCGGAUUUUUGGGGGUUAAAGGGAGCAUAGGCCGAAUGUCAAGCCUGCUGGGAAAGGCCCGGGGUCAACCCGUGCCCUGCAGCGCGAACUGGCGUGCUUGAGUCCGCGGAAGGCAGGCGGAAUUCGUCGUGUAGCGGUGAAAUGCGUAGAUAUGACGAAGAACCCCGAUUGCGAAGGCAGCUUGCUGCAGCGGAACUGACGCUGAUGCUCGAAAGCGCGGGUAUCGAACAGGAUUAGAUACCCUGGUAGUC